UGAAGGAGUGACAGAGAAAGGUAGCACAUCCACAUUGGUUGUUGUGGUGUAAGGUCGCAGGUGGGAUCGGUAGGCAAAUCCGCUGGUCCAUUCAACACUGAGAACUGAUGCCGAGGCGCAAGCCGAAGUGUGUAACCCUAAGCUUCCAAGAAAAGCUUCGUAGGGAGAUAAGUAUUAAUCCGUACCGUAAACCGACACAGGUAGAUGAGGCGAAAAGCCUAAGGUGCAUGGAUGAACUAUAUUUAAGGAACUCUGCAAAUUAGUACUGUAACCUCGGGAUAAAGUACGCCCUUGAACGUGAAGUCACUUGCUGACGUAGCGUCUGAGGGUCGCAGUGAAAUGGGGGUAGCGACUGUUUACCAAAAACACAGGUCUAUGCAAACACGCAAGUGGAAGUAUAUGGGCUGACGCCUCCCCGGUGCUGGAAGGUUAAGAGGUGAGGUUAGCCGCAAGGCGAAGCUUUAAAUUGAAGCCCCAGUAAACGGCGGCCGUAACUAUAACGGUCCUAAGGUAGCAAAUUCCUAGUCGGGUAAGUUCCGACCUGCACGAAUGGCGUAACGACUUCCCCACUGUCUCAAAUGUAGAUCCAGCGAAAUUGGUGAGCGCGUGAAGAAACGCGCUACCCGCGGAAGGACGAAAAGACCCCGUGAACCUUUACUGUAACUUGGCAUUGGGUUUCGAAUAAGCAUGCGUAGGAUAGGUGGGAGUUUUUGAUCCGUGCGUUCCGGCGUACGGGGAGACAACCUUGAAAUACCACCCUUGCUUAUUUGGAAUCCUAACCUGCGGUCCUAAUCGGGCCGGGGGACAAUGUCUGGUGGGCAGUUUGACUGGGGCGGUCGCCUCCUAAAGAGUAACGGAGGCGCACGAAGGUCCGCUCAACCUGAAUGGAAACCAGGUGUAGAGUGUAAACGCAUAAGCGGGCUUGACUGCGAGACAAACACGUCGAGCAGGUACGAAAGUAGGUGUUAGUGAUCCGGUGGUUCCGAGUGGAAGGGCCAUCGCUCAACGGAUAAAAGGUACUCCGGGGAUAACAGGCUGAUUUCCUCCAAGAGUUCACAUCGACGAGGAAGUUUGGCACCUCGAUGUCGGCUCAUCGCAUCCUGGGGCUGGAGCAGGUCCCAAAGGUUUGACUGUUCGUCAAUUAAAGCGGUACGCGAGCUGGGUUCAGAACGUCGUGAGACAGUUCGGUCUCUAUCCUCCGUGGGCGUAAGAUAUUUGAGAGGAGCUGACCUUAGUACGAGAGGACCGGGUUGGACAAACCUCUGGUGUACCGGUUGUGGUGCCAACUGCAUCGCCGGGUAGCUAAGUUUGGACGGGAUAAGCACUGAAAGCAUCUAAGUGCGAAGCCCCCCUCAAGAUUAGAUAUCUAUUAAGGGUGCUUGUAGACUACGAGCUUGAUAGGUUGGGUGUAUAAGCGAUGCAAGUCGUUGAGCUGACCAAUACUAAUAACCCGUUUUGCUC
rnacentral:rRNA from 1 species